UACGUAGGGGGCUAGCGUUGUCCGGAUUUAUUGGGCGUAAAGAGCGUGUAGGCGGCCAGGUAGGUCUGCUGUGAAAACUCGAGGCUCAACCUCGAGACGUCGGCGGAAACCAUCUGGCUAGAGUCCGGAAGAGGAGAGUGGAAUUCCUGGUGUAGCGGUGAAAUGCGCAGAUAUCAGGAAGCACCCCAAUGGCGAAAGCAGCUCUCUGGGACGGUACUGACGCUGAGACGCGAAAGCGUGGGGAGCGAACAGG
rnacentral:rRNA from 1 species